rnacentral:rRNA from 1 species
GUAGGUGGCAAGCGUUGUCCGGAAUUAUUGGGCGUAAAGCGCGCGCAGGCGGGUUCUUUAAGUCUGAUGUGAAAGCCCACGGGCUCAACCGUGGAGGGUCAUUGGAAACUGGAGAACUUGAGUACAGAAGAGGGAAGCGGAAUUCCACGUGUAGCGGUGAAAUGCGUAGAGAUGUGGAGGAACACCAGUGGCGAAGGCGGCUUUCUGGUCUGUAACUGACGCUGAGGCGCGAAAGCGUGGGGAGCAAACAGGAUUAGAUACCCUGGUAGUCCACGCCGUAAACGAUGAGUGCUAAGUGUUAGGGGGUUUCCGCCCCUUAGUGCUGCAGCUAACGCAUUAAGCACUCCGCCUGGGGAGUACGGCCGCAAGGCUG